CAGAACUUGAGUCUGCACCAUGCCCUGGGCUCCUCUGCUCCUCACCCUCCUCACAUGUCAUACAGUGUCUUUGGCCCAGGCAGGGCUGACUCAGCCCCCAUCGGUGUCCAUGGGCUUGGGACAGACAGUCACACUCACCUGCACUGGGAAUGGCAAUAAUGUUGGUAAUGAGGGAGUGGUUUGGCUGCAGCAGCACCCAGGUCGGUCCCCCAAACUCCUGGUGGACAAUCGACCCCCAGGGAUCUCAGAGAGGUUCAUCGGGUCCAGAUCAGGAAACGUCACUUCCCUGACCAUCUCCGGGCUCCAGGAGGAGGACGAGGCUGACUAUUUCUGUACAGCAUGGGACAAGACCUCAACGGUUUGCACGGUGCUUCAGGCCAGUGGGGAAUGUGGACUGCCCAUUUUCCCUAAAGUCAUGUGGGCCCUCACUGGGACCCGGAUGGACAAGGAGAGCUUUAGAGUCAUAAAGUCUUACAGUCAGUUAAACAUUUUGUGUAAAACAGGAUUGGAAUAA